rnacentral:rRNA from 1 species
CCUACGGGAGGCUGCAGUGGGGAAUAUUGGACAAUGGGGGCAACCCUGAUCCAGCCAUGCCGCGUGUGUGAAGAAGGCCCUCGGGUUGUAAAGCACUUUCAGUGAGGAAGAACGCCUGGUGGUUAAUACCCAUCAGGAAAGACAUCACUCACAGAAGAAGCACCGGCUAACUCCGUGCCAACAGCCGCGGUAAUACGGAGGGUGCGAGCGUUAAUCGGAAUUACUGGGCGUAAAGCGCGCGUAGGUGGCUUGAUAAGCCGGUUGUGAAAGCCCCGGGCUCAACCUGGGAACGGCAUCCGGAACUGUCAAGCUAGAGUGCAGGAGAGGAAGGUAGAAUUCCCGGUGUAGCGGUGAAAUGCGUAGAGAUCGGGAGGAAUACCAGUGGCGAAGGCGGCCUUCUGGACUGACACUGACACUGAGGUGCGAAAGCGUGGGUAGCAAACAGGAUUAGAUACCCUUGUAGUC